UCCAUACAAUAUUACAUCAAAUAUAUGUCCAUAGUGAAUUACACUUCAUAGUUUCAAAAGGUGUUAACAAAAAUGGAAACUCUUGCUACGCAGGUUCUGAUUUGCAGUUUAUUAACGACAAUAGUUUUCCUAUCAUGUCCAGCAAUGUCUCAGGAAGUUAUUAAGAAGGGUGAUGCAGUGAAGCAUGAUUAUGGAAUAGAGAAGAAUGAUGCUGAGUUUAAUUAUGAUAUGAGGAGUAAGAAAGGACCAUUCCACUGGGGAGAAAUUAAACCUGAAUGGAGCCAAUGCCAAAAGGGAUCGAUGCAAUCGCCGAUUCAUUUGACGAAUGAAACGAUUAAAAUAGUGUCCGAAUUGGGACCGCUCCAAGUGAAUUACACCGCCAGAUCCCAUACAACUGUUGUGAAUAAGGGUCAUCAAAUCAUGAUGAAAUGGAAUGAAUCCACAAACUUUUUACAUAUCAAUGGAACUCAGUACCUACUUAAAACGUCCCAUUGGCACUCUCCCUCUGAACACACCCUAAAUGGCAAAAGGUUGGAUCUAGAGGUGCACAUGGUGCACGAAUCACCAUCCGGACAAACUGCAGUUAUUGGAACACUCUAUAGAGUUGGAGAAUUUCCAGAUGCCUUAAUUGAUUUGGUAAUCCAUCACUUGAAGGACAUUCCUCACAUAGGAGACGAAAUGGAUGUGGGUCCACUUGAUCCUAAUCCGAUGAUUAAAGACGUAAACUCGUAUUACAGAUAUAUGGGUUCAUUGACUACUCCUCCGUGCACUGAAAAUGUUCUUUGGACAUUGUUUAAAGAGGUAGGAACCGUUACACCGGAGCAACUUGAAUUGCUUCGAAAACACCUUCGUCAUGAUUCAAAAGCUAAUGCAAGACCAACUCAGCCACUAAACAACCGUUUGGUGGAGCUCAAUCAGCCGAAAAAUACGACGAGUGAUAAAAAUUAAAGUUUCAAGCUAUUGACUAGGGCAUAAAUAAUGAGCAGAAUAUGAUUUGGAAUUUUUGAGCAAUGAGUAGGCUACAGAUUCUUGGUGACUGAAGAAUGGUAAAUUCAUGGAGGGGAAUAUCACAAUGGGAUCUUCAAAAGAGGGUAUUAAUUGGACAUUUUGCUACUAGUGUGAAGGAAGUGGAGCAAAAUUGCGAACCUAAACCUCUUAGAGUCGUAACUGUUUGGAGGGAGAUGGUGAUAUAUAAGGAGUUUGUUGCCAAAAAUCGGGAAGCAUAACUGUGGAGGUAAAGAGGAAUUUUGUAUUAAAAAAAAAUUAAAGGGUAUAAAAAUGGCGUUAUAAAAUUGGCACAAGCAACAUUGUGGAAAAUUUGAUGUGUGAAUUGGAGAUGCAACAAAGGAGGUGUAGGAGUUGGAUAUAUUAGGGGAGAAUCGUGAUUUGGAGGAAGAAAUGAGAAAAAGAAGGGAAGCCAUGUCAAAAGUUCAUAGAUGGACAAGUUUGAAGUGUAGUAUGUUGUGGUAAAAAUCUAAAACAAUGUUAUCAAACUCAACUUCAACUAUUUGAUUGAAUCAGUCCGACAAGGAAUCAGACAUGUAAGUAAAGUCGUCUGAGUUAUCAUGUUAAGCCAUUGAAACUAUCAUUUAAUGUAUCACAAAUAAUAUAUAUUA